CAGUGAUGGACACAAGGCUCCUGACAUGCUCAGAGGAACAGCCCAGAUAUGUGGUGUGUGAGGUUCCUGUAACAAAGAAGCAUCCACUGGGUGAAUUCAAAAAGAAAACUUUGAUUCAGAGUCUAGGGGUUACACAGUGGUAGAGUGUGUGCUUAGCAUGCUCAAGGCCUUGUGUUGGAUCAGAAGGGAGAAAGGGAUUCAGUUCUGAAGACUAAAUCAUAUUCCCUUUGUGAGUGCAGAAGGGCACCUUUCCUUGCUCUUCCAGCCUCUGGUUGCUAUCUGGGAUUAUAGGAAUCAAGGACACACCACUCCCAUCUGUUUCUGUGGUCAUAUCACCUUUCUUCUGUCUCUGAAAUCUCCCUGUCUCCUUCUUGUAAGGAUGAUUGGAUUGGGGCCCAGCUGGGUAACCCAGGUUGACUUCAUCUCAGGAUCCUUACUCAUAUCCAUAAAGACCCAUAUUCCAAAUAAGGAAUGUUCACUCACACAUUCAACACUCUGACACGAUCAUCUGUAGGGACUCACCACCCAACCCUCUACACAGGGCAGUACCCUGACAAGCAGCACAUAUACUGUGGCACCCACUCAUCAACCAGAUACAUAGCAGGAACAGGAACACAGAUGUAACCCACAAAUGCAAUGACAUAGCCAGACAUGCACUGUGUGCUCCAACACACAAACACACUGUGUAUUUGGCCAGACACAGUGAUAUGCACAGAGAUAUUUAACAACACCCCCACAUACAUACAAUUACCCAAACAUACAAGUACUCUUGCAUAACAAUGACCCCCUAACAUACAGAAACAAGAGAGCACAGCCCCAAUACAAACCAAAUUAUAUAACACCCCGACAUCUAGAUACACAUGAAAAACUGUUGGUCCUCACAUCCUGCAUGCAGGUACUCACACAUGAACAUGCCACAGCCUGGACAACAUGCUAAGAUUCAGAUACAUACCUACCAUGCAUCUGACAUCAAGGUGCCUGGAUACUGAAACUGACACUCAGAUAUAGCACUGAUCUUGCCUGGCACAGAACUCACAGAUAUGCCAUGACAGUGAUUUUCAAGAUGGAUGCUUCCUGACACAUUUGAUCACUUGGACACACCUGUGAACGCUGACACAUCCCAUUUGUACAGGAGAGCUGACAGCCUUGUACACACCUCAAGAAACACACACUGACCCCUCCCAGCAUCCUGCCCCUAGGGUGUGGAUGCUCAAGGAGGGCUUUGAGCAACUCUUUCCUUUUCCUCCUAUGGUAACUUGGGCUGGGGCAGCACCCUGGUCUCUCUGGCUCAGAUUUCCAAGGGGAGGACUGACUGGCUGACCUUUUCACAUAGGGCUCAGCACUUUGCCUCUGCCUCCAGACCAGUGUUCUGUGCAGGUCUCAGGCAAAGCAGAUAUCAAGGUCCCUUGAAAAGAGGUGGACAUCAAAUCUGCUGACAGCUCCUCUGCCCUGCCCCAGAGCAGUGCAGGACAGCCUGCUCCAGGGGGAGCAGGGCAGAGGGUGCUGGGCAAAAAGGAGGCCCCAGGGAAGGAGAUCUAUCUUGUAACUCUGUACCCCAACUAACAAUUUCCAGCCCACACUAGUUUUGUGGAAUUCAAAGUGCUUGUGGAAUGUAAAAAGGGGGCAUUAAAAACUUUUAGAAGUC
rnacentral:lncRNA from 1 species